UGUAAGCGUAUACCAAAGUUGUUGCAGUUAAAACGCUCGUAGUCGGAAUUUGGCAGUUCCGGAUGUGUGCACGUCGUGUGCGCACUUCGCGGGGAUUGCUUUUGUGGUCUUGCGUAGGAUGAGGCACUUUUAUUAGUGAACGUCCUCACGCAACCACUUUUUACUGUGAGAAAAUCAGAGUGCUCAAAGCAGGCAUUUGCCGUGAAUGUAUUAGCAUGGAAUAAUAGAAUAGGACUUGGUUCUAUUUUGUUGGUUUGUUGGGACUGAGUAAUGAUUAAGAGGGACAGUUGGGGGCAUUUGUAUUUCGGUGCUAGAGGUUAAAUUCUUAGAUUACCGAAAGACAAACUGCUGCGAAAGCGUCUGCCAAGGAUGUUUUCAUUGA
rnacentral:rRNA from 1 species